AACGAACGCUGGCGGCAUGCCUAACACAUGCAAGUCGAACGAGACCUUCGGGUCUAGUGGCGCACGGGUGCGUAACGCGUGGGAACCUGCCCUUAGGUUCGGAAUAACUCCCCGAAAGGGGUGCUAAUACCGGAUAAUGUCUUCGGACCAAAGAUUUAUCGCCUUUGGGUGGGCCCGCGUUGGAUUAGCUAGUUGGUAGGGUAAAAGCCUACCAAGGCGACGAUCCAUAGCUGGUCUGAGAGGAUGAUCAGCCACACUGGGACUGAGACACGGCCCAGACUCCUACGGGAGGCAGCAGUGGGGAAUAUUGGACAAUGGGCGAAGGCCUGAUCCAGCAAUGCCGCGUGAGUGAUGAAGGGCUUAGGGUUGUAAAGCUCUUUUACCCGGGACGAUAAUGACGGUACCGGGAGAAUAAGCGCCGGCUAACUCCGUG
rnacentral:rRNA from 1 species